UAGGCACAACCAGCUUCAAAUAUCACGUCUAUGCAGAGGCCACAAGCCAGGGAACGUGAACAACCUCUAGAAGCUGAGAAUGACCCAGCUGACAGCCAGUAAAGAAAUGGGGACCUCAGUCCUACAAGAGCUUGAAACUAAAUUCUGCCAACAACCUGAAUGAGUAUGGAAGUAGAUUCUCUCCUAGAGCCUCCAGAAAGUAGCACAUCCCUGUCAACAACUUGAUUUCAGCCUUGGAAGACUAAGUGGAGAACCAACAGAACCAUGCUGUGCAUGGACUUCUAACCCAAAGAAACUCUGAGAUAAUCAACAGCCACUAAACGUAUGGAAAUGAAAUAUUCCGUGCUCUGAAGUUUUCCCAGACACCUCAAGCAGCAGCUCCUCUGUUCCUCCGUGUUCCUGUAGCAAUUCCCACCUGCCUCUAUGGAAGUACUUCUCACACUGUUCUGUGAUCAUGUGUUUCUGUACUUGCCUCUCCUAAUUAGAGUGAGAGCAACUUCAAGCAACUUUAUUCACUGUUUUAUUUUUAGUGUCUGAAAAGUAAAAGGUAUCUAUGUUUGUUUACAUAUAGAUCAUUUAUCUUUAAAAAAUACUUUUAAAGUUAUAAUUUGCUAUGUGAAAUCACUUCUUCCUACUUUGAUAGCUAAUUGUCUAUUAUUCAUUAUCAGUAUAACUCACUAUAUUAACGCACCUAGCCAAACUCCACAGCAGCAACAGCCAGAUAUUUGGCACUUUAAAAUAAAAGUCUAGUAUUUUCU
rnacentral:lncRNA from 10 species